rnacentral:rRNA from 1 species
GAUGAACGCUAGCGAUAGGCUUAACACAUGCAAGUCGAGGGGCAGCACAAGGUAGCUUGCUAUCUGGGUGGCGACCGGCGCACGGGUGCGUAACGCGUAUGCAACUUUCCCUAUACAGGAGGAUAACCCGUCGAAAGACGGACUAAUACUGCGUAUGCUCACAACUUGGCAUCAAGUGGUGAGGAAAGAAAUUCGGUAUAGGAUAGGCAUGCGUCCCAUUAGCUUGUUGGUGAGGUAACGGCUCACCAAGGCAACGAUGGGUAGGGGAACUGAGAGGUUUAUCCCCCACACUGGUACUGAGACACGGACCAGACUCCUACGGGAGGCAGCAGUGAGGAAUAUUGGUCAAGGGGCGCGAGCCUGAACCAGCCAAGUCGCGUGAAGGAUGACUGUCUUAGGGAUUGUAAACUUCUUUUAUACGGGAAUAACAAGAGUCACGUGUGACUCCCUGCAUGUACCGUAUGAAUAAGCAUCGGCUAACUCCGUG